GCUCGGAGCUGCCCGCCAACUCGCCGCUAAAAAUCCCGAAGAUGGAGGUCCUUUCCCCGGCUUCUCCUGGUGGCCUGAGCGACGGAAAUCCAUCGCUGUCCGACCCUUCCACGCCUCGGGGUGCCUCCCCGCUCGGGCCGGGCAGUGCGGCGGGCUCGGGGGCAACGGCGUCCGGGGGUCUCGGGCUGGGGCUGGGGGGCCGCAGCGCCGCCUCGUCCUCGGUCUCCUUCUCCCCUGGUGGCGGCGGUGGCGGGGCUGCGGCAGCCGCCGCCGCCGCCUGCCGGGGCAUGUCGUGGACGCCGGCCGAGACGAACGCGCUCAUCGCAGUGUGGGGCAACGAGCGGCUGGUGGAGGCGCGGUACCAGCAGCUGGAGGGAGCCGGCACGGUGUUCGGCAGCAAGGCCCCCGGGCCAGCCAUGUACGAGCGCGUGUCCCGGGCCCUGGCCGAGCUGGGCUACGAGCGGACCCCGUCCCAGUGCCGGGAGCGCAUCAAGCUGGUUCGAUGCCCAGAACUGAAUGCUGUGCUCCAGCUGUGGCCUCACCGGUGCUGAAUAGAGAGGAAGAGCCACCUUCAUAGCUUACAUGAGCUGGAGUCAGAU
rnacentral:sRNA from 1 species